rnacentral:lncRNA from 10 species
GGCAAUGAGGGCUUCCAUUCUGGCUCUUCACCAUGAUAACCUUGGGGGCUUCCUGGAUUUAAAACCCAGGAAAGCAGGGGUUGAGAAGGGAGAGCCUUUGACCAUGGUCUCUAGCAGUUUUUCACUCUCCUAAAUGUCCACGUUCAGCCUCCAGCAAGUUGUCGAAGUCACCAGACAAGGUUUUGCUGUAUUGCCUACUACACUGGAGUGCAGUAGUGCCAUCAUAGCUUACUGCAACCUCGAACUUCCGGGCUCAAGAGACCCCCCUGCCUCAGCCUCCCAAGUAGCUGGGACUACAGGGACACACCACCAUCCCUGGCUAAUUUUCUUUUUGUGUAGAGUCGGGGUCUCUCUAUGCCGUCCAUGAUGGACUCAAACCCCUGAGCUCACAUGAUCCUCCUCCCUCGCUCAGCCUCCCCAAGUGCUGAGAUUUACAGGUGUGAGCCACUGCGCCUGGCCCCCCUUUAUCUUUCACAGGCAUUUCCCAAUAAAUUUAUUUCCUUUCUAAUUCCUGUUGAUAAAUGCUUCAUGGAGCACCCAAACUGGCAUAGUUUAUGAUUUCUGAUGUUCUAUUCUAUUCCGUUACUGUGAAAGGAGACCUGGUUUUCCAUCACAUUCUCCCCUAAGUGAGAACUCUGGGGAAGACACACUGACUGCUAGAUUUUGC